rnacentral:rRNA from 1 species
CAGUCGAACGGGGAUAUGCUGGACAAGGCUUCGGCCGAGGAAGGCAUAUUCGAGUGGCGGACGGGUGAGUAACGCGUGAGCAACCUGCCUUUCAGAGGGGGAUAACGAUUGGAAACGAUCGCUAAUACCGCAUAACAUUGCAGAGCCGCAUGGUUUUGCAAUCAAAGGAGCAAUCCGCUGAGAGAUGGGCUCGCGUCCAAUUAGGUAGAUGGCGGGGUAGAGGCCCACCAUGCCGACGAUUGGUAGCCGGACUGAGAGGUUGAACGGCCACAUUGGGACUGAGACACGGCCCAGACUCCUACGGGAGGCAGCAGUGGGGAAUAUUGGGCAAUGGGGGAAACCCUGACCCAGCGACGCCGCGUGAGGGAAGAAGGUUUUCGGAUUGUAAACCUCUGUCCUUGGUGACGAUAAUGACGGUAGCCAAGGAGGAAGCCACGGCUAACUACGUGCCAGCAGCCGCGGUAAUACGUAGGUGGCGAGCGUUGUCCGGAAUUACUGGGUGUAAAGGGAGCGUAGGCGGGAGAGCAAGUCGACUGUGAAAUCUAUGGGCUUAACCCAUAGCUGCGAUCGAAACUGUUCAUCUUGAGUGAAGUAGAGGCAGGCGGAAUUCCUAGUGUAGCGGUGAAAUGCGUAAAUAUUAGGAGGAACACCAGUGGCGAAGGCGGCCUGCUGGGCUUUAACUGACGCUGAGGCUCGAAAGCGUGGGUAGCAAACAGGAUUAGAUACCCUGGUAGUCCACGCUGUAAACGAUGAUUACUAGGUGUGGGGGGACUGACCCC